rnacentral:rRNA from 1 species
GACGAACGCUGGCGGCGUGCCUAAUACAUGCAAGUAGAACGCUGAAGGAGGAGCUUGCUCUUCUGGAUGAGUUGCGAACGGGUGAGUAACGCGUAGGUAACCUGCCUGGUAGCGGGGGAUAACUAUUGGAAACGAUAGCUAAUACCGCAUAAGAGUAGAUGUUGCAUGACAUUUGCUUAAAAGGUGCAAUUGCAUCACUACCAGAUGGUCCUGCGUUGUAUUAGCUAGUUGGUGGGGUAACGGCUCACCAAGGCGACGAUACAUAGCCGACCUGAGAGGGGGAUCGGCCACACUGGGACUGAGACACGGCCCAGACUCCUACGGGAGGGAGCAGGAGGGAAUCUUCGGCAAUGGACGGAAGUCUGAACGAGCAACGGCGCGGGAGUGAAGGAGGUUUUCGGAUCGUAAAGCUCUGUUGUAAGGGGAGAACGAGUGUGAGAGUGGAAAGUGCACACUGUGACGGUAUCUUAACAGAAAGGGACGGCUAACUACGUG